rnacentral:rRNA from 1 species
UGGGGAAUUUUGGACAAUGGGGGAAACCCUGAUCCAGACAUACCGCGUGUGCGAUGAAGGCCUUCGGGUUGUAAAGCACUCUUGGCAGGAAAGAAACGUCAUGGGUUAAUACCCCGUGAAACUGACGGUACCUGCAGAAUAAGCACCGGCUAACUACGUGCCAGCAGCCGCGGCAAUACGUAGGGUGCAAGCGUUAAUCGGAAUUACUGGGCGUAAAGCGUGCGCAGGCGGUUCGGAAAGAAAGAUGUGAAAUCCCAGAGCUCAACUUUAGAACUGCAUUUUUAACUACCGGGCUAGAGUGUGUCAGAGGGAGGUGGCAUUCCGCGUGUAGCAGUAAAAUGCGUAGAUAUGCGGAGGAACACCGAUGGCGAAGGCAGCCUCCUGGGAUAACACUGACGCUCAUGCACGAGAGCGUGGGGAGCAAACAAG